UAAUAUGUUGUUAACGUGCUCAAGAAAC
rnacentral:piRNA from 1 species